UGCCAGCCGCCGCGGUAAUACGGAGGGUGCAGGCGUUAAUCGGAAUUACUGGGCGUAAAGCGCGCGUAGGCGGUGGGCUAAGUCAGAUGUGAAAGCCCCGGGCUCAACCUGGGAACUGCACCUGAUACUGCCAGUCUAGAAUACGGUAGAGGGUAGUGGAAUUUCCUGUGUAGCGGUGAAAUGCGUAGAUAUAGGAAGGAACAUCAGUGGCGAAGGCGACUACCUGGACUGAUAUUGACGCUGAGGUGCGAAGCGUGGGGAGCAAACAGGAUUAGAUA
rnacentral:rRNA from 1 species